GGGUGAGUAACACGUAUCCAACCUGCCCUCUACUCGGGGAUAGCCUUUCGAAAGAAAGAUUAAUACCCGAUAGUAUAAUCAUUCCGCAUGGUCUGAUUAUUAAAGGAUUCCGGUAAAGGAUGGGGAUGCGUUCCAUUAGGUUGUUGGUGAGGUAACGGCCCACCAAGCCUUCGAUGGAUAGGGGUUCUGAGAGGAAGGUCCCCCACAUUGGAACUGAGACACGGUCCAAACUCCUACGGGAGGCAGCAGUGAGGAAUAUUGGUCAAUGGGCGCGAGCCUGAACCAGCCAAGUAGCGUGAAGGAUGACUGCCCUAUGGGUUGUAAACUUCUUUUAUAUUAGAAUAAAGUGCAGUAUGUAUACUGUUUUGUAUGUAUAAUAUGAAUAAGGAUCGGCUAACUCCGUGCCAGCAGCCGCGGUAAUACGGAGGAUCCGAGCGUUAUCCGGAUUUAUUGGGUUUAAAGGGAGCGUAGGUGGACUGGUAAGUCAGUUGUGAAAGUUUGCGGCUCAACCGUAAAAUUGCAGUUGAUACUGUCAGUCUUGAGUACAGUAGAGGUGGGCGGAAUUCGUGGUGUAGCGGUGAAAUGCUUAGAUAUCACGAAGAACUCCGAUUGCGAAGGCAGCUCACUGGACUGCAACUGACACUGAUGCUCGAAAGUGUGGGUAUCAAACAGGAUUAGAUACCCUGGUAGUCCACACAGUAAACGAUGAAUACUCGCUGUUUGCGAUAUACAGUAAGCGGCCAAG
rnacentral:rRNA from 1 species